GCCCCACAGCGCUGCGCGAAGGGGAAAACCCUACUGCUGUUCAGCUGCGGAAUUUGUCAUAAAGUAAUAGCCUGUGCGGUGGGAGAGUAGUGGAAAACGACCGUGGCAUAAUUUCCACUGCUGUGAGGAGAUGGUUUGUCUUAACUUUCCCCGAAACGUAUUUUCAGUUUUUAUUGCACCGCCUUUGCCACCGCUCACUGUUGAUGGAGCUAACCUCCUUACACUCUUUCCACAUGUAUGUUUUUAUAAGUAAACAAACCUGGUGAAACCCCCAGUCCAAGAAUGGAAACUCCAGUAGGUUUUAAAUAAAGUUUUCUGUUAGUGUGGAACCAAAGUGAGUCCAUGCCUGUUUGACAAGGGCUGCUGGAUGAGGACCUGGGCGCUCUUUCUGAUUCCACAUCAAUCCCAUGUCAAUAGAUGAACAUGUUCCUCUGCAAAACUCCUGCAAAGUACAAAUGCCAGGGCAAAACCUGAUCCCAUAUCCACUUAGGGAUAUAUCCCCCCACAGCCAUUCCCCCUCUGAGAUCCUUCUUUCCCACUGCAGCUAGCUCUGAGGACAUUGUCCCUUCUGAUACGCCUGCAGUGAUCCAGUGAGAAUUUGUUUCCUUAGAGAGUACCUUUGUGGACUUGAGAAUCAAUCAUCAAUUUGGUCAAUACUUGAAAUUAAAAAUAAAAAAAAAGGGGGGAAUGAGCCUUUGGGGAAUUUCUUCCUAAAAGUCGUAAAAAUGUUGUAAAUUUUGCUAUCAUAUCUUUUUGAGGGCUCUCAUUUGUUCAUUCAGCCUGGAGGAGUAGGAGCUGAGGGGAGGAAUUAGCUGUUGUCUGCAACUGGUGGAAGGUGAUGGAGGAAUUACCACCAGACUCUUCUCCGAGGUGCACAGCAAGCAGAUGAGAGGCAUUGGUCCCACGAUGCAGCAGGAGAAAUCCCAAUCAGUUAAUAGGAAGGAAUUCUUCAACGUUAGAGCAGUCAAGCACUGGAAUGGGCUUCCCAAAGACCUUGUGCAAUCUCAAACCCAGAAUGGACCGGGUCUUAUACAAAAUUAACAAUAGCAUCUGAAAUCCUUUGAAAUGCUUUAGCUGAAGAGAUAAAGGCAGCUGUGUUGGAGCGCUCUGCCUCUUGUGUCGGGAGGCUCUUUGUUGUGUGAUUCACCUCAGCUGACUUGUGCUAACCAGGAAACAGGCAUUUAGGCAGGCUUAGUCACCAAGAUUCCCUCCUCUAGGCAGCUCCAAAAAGAGAUCCUGUCCCCAGCUGGAUGUCUAAAACAGCCCAGCACAUGGGGAGCUGAAAUGGCUCACCUUGAGGUCACUCUGGCUGAUGACAUGGUUAAAGCCAGGUGAAAUGAGACCUCACUGGUGCCUCCUGAAAAUAAGGACAAGAGCAAGGCAAACUGCUGACUUUUAAAUAGCAAUAACUUAGCAUGAAAGACAUAGCAUCAGCAGAAUGUCCCCAAGGGUAACAUGUGCCACGGGCUGUCAGCCAUGGACUUGUGGCCAGACUCCUGGGCAGCCUCAAAACUUCAAACAGAAACAGGGCAGUGAUGGCAUCUGCAAUAUCUGCAAAAAUUCCUGGUGCAACCCUGUAAUGCUAAAUAGAAAACUGUCCCAAAAUUUUUGUGCUGCUGUAGUCUAGGAAGGUGAGAGGGGUGAAAAUGCAGUCAUGUCUUUUGGUAUUUGAACCGUAGGGCAGUCAUGGCUCUUUCAUUAGUUUGAUAAACUGAGCAAAAAUGCAUAUGGCUAAUUGCCUCUUGGGUUGAAGCUCUCUGCAUGGAAGAAAUACAUGCUAAAAUGGGUUAAUAAAAUACUGAGAAAGAUUUUAUAAGUAGCUAAGUAAGGAGCUUUGGCACUCCGUGCACCCAAAUGUCGACCAGAAUCUUACUGCAGCCGACUUUUUGCCACUUCCAGGGUGACCCUGGAUAAAUCAUCUCACUUUCCUAUCAGUGUAGUAAGAAUAAUGACAUUUUCUUCUUGCUGAGAGUGCUGUCAGGAGAUGAUAAUCAAAGUUUGUAAUUUGAUUAGGAAAUGUGAAACAUUAUACAGCACUCUUUUCAAUGCCAGCACCUCACUAUAUAAACUUCUGGUUAAGAUAUUUUACUUAAAACUCUGGAGAAAACAAAUUGGUAAGACAAACAAUAAUGAGCAAUGAUGUUCCUGUUUUCUUUAAGAACCCCAGAACAAUUUUGUAUCAUUUGGAGAUAAAUCUCUUUGUCUAUCACAUUGACAUGCAGCCAGCUGAAGAAGGACAUGACAUCUUUUCAAACAUUCACCAUAGCACUCCAGUAGAAAAUAAAAAGGCAAAUUUAAUUUUCAGUUGCAACUACACAAGCAAAGUAGAUAAGCACCUUGUGCUUUACACACAGACAUUGAAAGCUGAACUUGUGUGAAGUGAGUUAGUGUAGGCAUUUUGUUAGAAAGCAAAAAGUCUGCUCAAGAAAAAUACAGGCAUUCAUAAUGCCCCUACAGUUUUUGUGAAAGUGGAAAGUACAAUUUCUACAGCCAAAGACAACAGUGAGGGGAAGAAAAGAAUGUUCAGUAUUCAGCAAAAAGGAAGAAUCUGGCUGACUGGAAAUGUAUGUGCAUUUCAGAAGGCUUUGUUAAAAUAAUAUUAAGGUACUGGCUUUACGUCCACAAAAAGAAUGCUAUUUGAUGCCGAAGUCAAGCUUUCCACGUGUUUGAAAUAAAACAAUAUAGAUUUAAUUUAGCCACAAAACAAUUCCUGUGGGGAGAGCUGGAAGCAGCAAGCUCUGAUUCCCAGCAGACAUGCUUCCCUGUGCCACUCAGCCCAUCUCCAUCCCCUCUGCAUUAAUUUUGUCUCCUUCCCACCCUGUGGACAGCAUCCUUGCAAAGCGAGAAGCAGUAGGUGCAGGUGGGCCAGCGAGUACCAGCUGCCAAGAGAAACAAUAAUGUUUGCUCAGUCAGGGCAUGAAUUUAGUUCUCACUCCUCUAUCAUAAUGUCUGUAUUAACAGAUCUUGUAAGAGUGUUAUUAUUUCUGAGAAUUCUGCCUUUCUGCCCUUCCAUCAAAUUUGAGCAAAAUUCAUCAAGAAGGAUGAAAAACUCUUGAAAAGGGAUUUGCAGCCAGACUGAAAACAUGGCCACAUAAGCAAAGUUCAUGUGAAAAAACAGAUUGAAAAACUAGAAAGUUGCCCACAGUGGGGGAAAAAAACCUCACAACAAGUGAAAUCCUUUUGCGAGGGGGUGAAAUUGAAAAUUAUUGACUCCUUCAAGUUGUAUUGGCACCUGAGAAAUAGAAAGGGAAAACAGAAAAUGAUACAAGCUACUAUCCAUCCACUGACAGGACCUUCAUAAGGUCUUCAUAGGAACACAAGAGAAAGGGAUUUUUUAAAAUUAUAUCUGGGGUUAGCUUUACUAAACAUUUUUUGGCUAUAUGAUUUGCAGCAGGACCCCUCCAUUCAUCUUGUGUUAGCUCAGCUGGAUGACAAGUGGCAUCAUGGAGCUCAUAACAAGUCUCCAAGAGGGGACACAGAGAGGAGGGAAAUCAUUUGAAACCAGUGUUACUAACAAGAGCAGUAUGCCUAAAACAUUUGGAGUUUUAAUCACUAUUGCUUAGCUCCGUGUUUUAUUUGCAGACUAAGUCCCCUUGGGGCCUGUAUCUGAGCUGAGGGAAUGAUAGACCAUGUGGCACUCAAAGGGAAGAAAAGAUAAACAAUAUGGAAAAUAUCAUUAGGCAGCCAGUCACGCCUCUCUAUAACUGCCAAAGAACAGCAGAAAGAUAACUCAUGUUCUCCUGUUCCUUGGAAAAGCCUCAGUCACUUGAAUAAAGAGACUUUUAGGAGCUCUUGUUGAGAAAUGGCCUGGGCUGUGCAUGCAUUAAACGAUUUUCAAAUUGAGACUCACAAGCUACUUAUGGAUCUGCAGUUUACAUGGCUAUUUCCACUUCCUAAAUCUCAUCAGCAUGUGUUAAUUGCUUUCCUAAUGCUCUUAUACCAUGUAAACAGUUGCAAAAUUAGCCCCAGAGAUGGUAUGAAAUGAUAAAUUCGAUGAGUGGAAGAAGAGGAAGAGGAAAGGAUUGCAUGAGAGAAAGUGAAAGAUGAGAAGGGGCCAUUAAAUGCCCGAGGUGGGAAGUCAUGAGGUGCAUUCCCCAAAGCCCUGUGCCCCAGAGAGCAGUGCAGAUGUGAUCCUCAGGGCUCCUACUGCCUUUACUCCAAGGGCACCUUGGGAUGGCUCUGCCCUCACGCCCAUGCUCUCCCCUAACAGACUUCGUGUAGCUCAUUUACUGAAACUGCCAUGCUCCACAUCCACCUGGGUUUUUCCUCUCUCCUGGGUUUUCUGAGCAAAUUUCACUGCCUGUGAGAAGAGCUAAGUUACUUGAUGUCUGGAUAAUUCACCGUCUCACCUCCAUUUGCCUACUUUUCUGGAGGGUUUGAGAUAAGGAUAUGACAAGCCCACAUAAGGAUUUUCACCUCUCCAUCUGCUUGCAAAGAAAAUCAGAUAUCUGAGCCCACAUACCCUCCUAGGUGUGGAAAUUUGCUAACUGUUCAUAACAUGCCUAAGCUGCACUUGUUAAUUUUUCUUCCAGAAACAGCAGAAGUAGAGAAGGGGCCUUGACUCUAAGGGUAUCAGCACAGCAGUGAAUAGAGAUUACCGUCACCAAAUCAAAACAGGGGAGGCAGUGACAGCAUGGAAAGCUUGCACUGAUUUAAGCUGGUAUAAUAUUUCUGGUGCCUGCAAGAGGUCCACCUCCCUUCCCCCUGUCUAGUGAAAUGGUGCCCCAAGGCUCCAGCACCUCAGCCAGGGUCAGGAGCAGGGAGCAGCCCUACCCAAGGAGUGACAAAGGAGCCCAGCUGCCAGUGCCAUGGACAGAGGAUCUAUCAGCUGCCUGCACAGCCACAAAGGACCUGGUGAGAGCACACACUGAUACAGCUCAGGGUGAAUCAGGCCACAGAGUGGCGCAGAGUUGCAAGGCAGGAGUUCAGGCAGCAGAGUGCCAUCAGCUCCUGUCCUCCAGUUUUCAACAAACUGGUGAUGGAGUGCAGUGUACCCACACUUCUACGUCCUCGUGGAACCUACAGGCAGAGGUGGAGGAAGCAAUGCUAUUCCAGCCCUUUUUUUGUCAUGUCAUGAAAGCAAUCCAGGUGUGCAAAGGACAGACCACUUUCCCAUGCAACUGUGAUGCUGCUUCCUCCCAGGCACUAUCAUAAAUGUCAGGUUUUCUUUUCAGCAUCUCGUAAGCACAAGGGUCCUUAAGUCUUCUGGGCCUCAGACGGCUGGAAAGGAAUCUCUGUGGUCUCCAGAGCUGUUGUAUCUUCUCAGUUGUGCUUUACUGGGAGGUUGCAUCAUGCCAGUUUGGGUUGCUGUAACCUGCUUUGCCCAGAACUUAUAAUUUCAGAGUGUUUGGAGGCUGCUGCUUCAUGCUAACUAUGUUGUGCCCAGGGCAGUAUUUACUGUGAGUGGGAUUUCUAUGUGGGUGCCAUCAUUUACAACUGCUUAUGAAUGAUGUGAUGUUGAAGUGUAAAUGCUGAUCUUCAGUCUGAAAGUCCUGGAGGAUUUAA